UAGAAUCUCAAUCUACACAAAGCCAAUCGAACAAGAGACAGGAAAUAGGACCGGUUAGCACAACAUGUCGGGGGCAUCAGCUUUGCCAGACGAGCUAUGGAGACGAAUUCUUGAAAUCGGAAUUGAAUCCUCAAACUUCACCUACAAAGAUCUUUGCUGUCUCUCAAUUACUUGCACGCGCCUCAAUCGACUCUCCUCUGAUGAUUCUCUCUGGUCCUCUUUGUUCUCCACCGACUUCCCCCAAUAUCAUAUUAACCAACAUCCCUCAUCUUCUUCCAGCAAAUCGCUCUACAAAAUUAGGUAUUUAUACAUCCGAGAACAGAAGCUUUUGGCCCAUAGAAGGGCUGUUUUAAGAAUUCAGAGCGAAAUCAAUGAGCAUUCUAGGAGGAUUCGGGAGAUGGAACUUCGAUCUGCAGAGGAGAAAGAGAAAAUGAAGAACACUGUUGCUGAGUUGUUAAAUUUGCGUAAGAUCAGGCAAGCCUCAGUUGCACUAAAUGUUUGGCAGCCAGAGGUUGUCCGAGGUAGGCAGAAGCAGAUGGUUGAGCAAUGCAAUGUGCCUAUUGAUAAUCGUAUCCAUGCCAUUGAGAUGGAGCUCAAGCUUUGCAAACAGCAAAUUCUAGGGUUUGAGAAGGCCCUUAGAGUUGAAAAAAAGAGAAUGCAGACAGCAAAGGAAAAGCUGGCUUCAGUAGAAUACCACCCCUUGCGGGAUUUUAACUUAACAGUCAGCCCGGUUGAUGAACAUGACAUGAGAGGGAAAAGAUCGAAGCACAUGAUCAAGGAAGGAAACUAGGAGUUGAUGCACCACCGAAUUGGAUGAGUUACUCAUGGUCAAGGAAUUUUCUAGAAUGGUCUUGACAAUUGGAUGAUACAAUGCAGAUGUUCAGCCUAUCUGCAUUUCUGUCCAAGCUCCAUUUUAGGCACUGAUUUUGCAGUUGCUUUCCUGUUGAUUAUUGGAAGUAUGGCAAAUUCGGUCACCUCGAGUGCAUUUAGAAACAGAUAUCUGAUAUGGGGAAGGGGAUUACAAAUGUGGACAAUUUUGAUGUUGUCUAAUAUGCUUGAUUGCGGGAAAGGAUGUUCAAGGAAAUGGAGGAUUAUUCCUCGGAGUCUGAAAAAGAGAGCAAAAUGGAUGUUCUGCAAUAGAAAGGGGACUCUGAGGCUACAUUGGAAUAUCCAGUUGGAUGCUGAUACUCAAAAACACAUGCGGGUCGAGAAACUUUGCUUUAUGCCUCACACAGUUGACAAAGUUAUGUGAGGCUGCCUAUGUUUGAAAAGUGGUAUUUGUAGGUCCAAAGUAUUUUGGGUUCACAAAUUCAACUUGUCAAAUACAGGCAACCAUUUGGAUCUCACAAUUUCACUUGUCACACAUACGGGGAACCUUAUAUAACUUAAAUUCUCUCAGUUUUUUUUUUUUGGAUAAACUUUAUUUGCAUGUCAACAAAGAUGCCUGCAAUGUCUAAUCAUGUGUAAAAUGGAUUAUGAUGUAUGUAUUUGAUAU